UACGUAGGGCGCAAGCGUUGUCCGGAAUUAUUGGGCGUAAAGAGCUCGUAGGCGGUUUGUCGCGUCUGCUGUGAAAACCUAAGGCUCAACCUUGGGCUUGCAGUGGAUACGGGCAGACUAGAGUGCAGUAGGGGAGACUGGAAUUCCUGGUGUAGCGGUGAAAUGUGCAGAUAUCAGGAGGAACACCGAUGGCGAAGGCAGGUCUCUGGGCUGUAACUGACGCUGAGGAGCGAAAGCAUGGGGAGCGAACAGG
rnacentral:rRNA from 1 species